UGUUCGUGUCAAUGUAUGUGUCUCUAGUUCCAGCUGUGAACUAGUCUUUUGUGUGGGAAAUGUCUAGAAGUGAAGCUUUCUUCUG